rnacentral:tRNA from 1 species
GGGAUUGUGGCUCAGUGGUAGAGCACUCCCCUAACACGGGCGAGACCUGGGUUCGAUCCUCAGCACCCCA